rnacentral:ncRNA from 2 species
AGAUCAACGUCGGGAGAACCAGACAACUGGUGCCGAAGGAGCAACCGCCUCGGAAACUCUCAGGCCAACGGACCGAUGUUGAUAC